rnacentral:rRNA from 1 species
CACGGGGGGAGCAAGCGUUGUUCGGAAUUACUGGGCGUAAAGGGCUCGUAGGCGGCCAACUAAGUCAGACGUGAAAUCCCUCGGCUUAACCGGGGAACUGCGUCUGAUACUGGAUGGCUUGAGUUUGGGAGAGGGAUGCGGAAUUCCAGGUGUAGCGGUGAAAUUCGUAGAUAUCGGGAGGAACACCAGUGGCGAAGGCGGCGACCUGGGCCAAUAUUGACGCUGAGGUGCGAAAGCGUGGGGAGCAAACAGG